GAGCCCAGCACUGAAUCCCAAAGGCCUCGCCUUUAGGGAAAUGUAGUGUUUAGGAGUGCCCGUUUAACCCGGGGUCCGUGCACCGCGUUCAAGUCCAUCUUGAACGGGGCCACGGUCCGAAGAGGGUGCCAGGCCCGUAGAUGACCGGUGCCGGCCCCGGGUGGGCCCCUCCUUAGAGUCGGGCUGCUUGAGAGUGCAGCCCUAAGCGGGUGGUAAACUCCAUCUAAGGCUAAAUACAACCACGAGACCGAUAGAGAACAAGUACCGUGAGGGAAAGUUGAAAAGAACUUUGAAGAGAGAGUUCAAGAGUACGUGAAACCGCUCAGGGGUAAACGGAAAAGACCCGAAGCCCCGAAACGGGAGAUUCACGUCUUCUCGCCGGGUCCGCACCCCGACAGGGGGGAUGGCCUUUCGCCCCGUCCGGCUCGUCCGUGGCGGUGGGUGGGCCGCCCCCCACGGGGUCGCGCUCCCGCGGGGGACCGCACUUCUCCCUUAGUAGGACGUCGCGACCCGCUCCGCGGCGGUCUAAGGUCCGGGAGACGGUCUGGCUCGGGGCCUCCCACUCCGGUGGGGGCCACGUGACAGCUCCCCGGCACCGCGGCCGCCGGUCCGGGCGGUAUCGAAAGACUAAGGCGCUGGGCCGCUCCACAUGCGAGCGCCGACGUCUCCCCGCAAGACCGGGCGUUUACCAGGGGGUGCCUUAACGGACACGCCCGGCUAGGCGCUCGGGCCCCUGGCGGGCGAGCACUCCGGCACGGCCCAGUCCGCCAGUCGGCGGCGCUUCAGAUUCGGGAACUUAUCCGACCCGUCUUGAAACACGGACCAAGGAGUCUAGCGUGUGCGCGAGUCAUUGGGUGUAAAACCUAAAGGCGCAAUGAAAGUGUCAGGCGUGCCUUCCCGAAAGGGGAGCGCGCGCCGUAGGGAGGAUGGGCCGCCGUACGACUAGCUCGUCGGAGCCCCGCACUCCCGGGGCGUCUCGUUCUCAUCACGAGUGGAGACGCACCAGGAGCGCACACGCUGGUACCCGAAAGAUGGUGAACUAUGCCUGGCCAGGACGAAGCCAGGGGAAACCCUGGUGGAGGUCCGAAGCGAUUCUGACGUGCAAAUCGAUCGUCUGAGCUGGGUAUAGCGGCGAAAGACCAAUCGAACCAUCUAGUAGCUGGUUCCCUCUGAAGUUUCCCUCAGGAUAGCUGGCUCUCGGGAAGAGACGAGUCUCAUCCGGUAGAGCGAAUGAUUAGAGGUGAUGGGGUCGAAACGACUUCAACCUAUUCUCAAACUCCCAAUAGAUGAGAGCCCCGGCUUGCUUAAAAGUGAAGCCGCGGGACUCGGAUCAGAGACGCCAAGUGGGCCAAUUUUGGUAAGCAGAACUGGCGCUGUGGGAUGAACCAAACGCAGAGUUAAGGCGCCUGAUUCGACGCUCAUUUGAAACCAUGAAAGGCGUUGGUUGCUUAAGACAGCAGGACGGUGGCCAUGGAAGUCGGAAUCCGCUAAGGAGUGUGUAACAACUCACCUGCCGAAGCAACUAGCCCUGAAAAUGGAUGGCGCUGUAGCGUCGUGCCUAUACUCUGCCGUCAACGGCAAAGCGGGCCGCCCCCCCCAGGGGGGAGUCGCCGUUAAGCCUUGACGAGUAAGAGGGUCGCGGCGGUGUGCGCGGAAGGGUCUGGGCGUGAGCCCGCCUGGAGCCGCCGCCGGUGCAGAUCUUGGUGGUAGUAGCAAAUACUCCAGCGAGGCCCUGGAGGACUGAUGUGGAGAAGGGUUUCUUGUGAACAGCUGUUGCACAAGAGUCAGUCGAUCCUAAGCCCUAGGAGAAAUCCGAGGAGAAUGGUUGCCGUUAAUGUGUGAGAGCGCCGGGCACGCGCGCGGGGGCUCCCGCCUCCGCCGCGGUCAGGCUAUAUCAGCAGGCACCGUUCGGGCGAAAGGGAAUCCGGUUCCUAUUCCGGAACCCGGCAGCGGAACCGCUCCAAUUCGGGCCCUCAUCAGAGGACUCGUCGGGGUGACCCGAAAUGACCCGGAGAAGCCGUAGGGAGGUCCGGGGAGAGUUGUCUCUUCUCUAUAAGCGUUCGAGUUCCCUGGAAGCCUCUAGGAGGGAGAUAGGGUUUGGAACGCGAAGAGCACCGCACUUACGGCGGUGUCCGGAUCUUCCCCUCGGACCUUGAAAAUCCGGGCGAGGGCCACGGGGAACACCGCGCCGGCUCGUACCCAUAUCCGCAGCAGGUCUCCAAGGUGAAUAGCCUCUAGUCGAUAGAAUAAUGUAGGUAAGGGAAGUCGGCAAACCCGAUCUGUAACUUCGGGAUAAGGAUUGGCUCUGAGGAUCGUGGCGCGCCGGGCUUGGUCGGGAAGUGGAGCGGUGCCAACGUGCCGGGCCUGGGCGAGGUGAAAGGCGUCUCACGCCUGGACCCUAGCUCGGUCCCGUGCCUUGGCCACCCACGGAUCUUCCUUGCUGCGAGCCUCCGGCUGUCCAGUCGCCGUGCUAACGCGCGGAGGACGGGCCGGAAGGCUC
rnacentral:rRNA from 1 species